UGAUUUUGUGGAUGCGCUAGUUUUACUUAUUACUGGGUCCAAUACAGCCUCUGAUUCAAUCCCAUCAUUUUUUGACUCAACUAUAGUAUUGGACCCCAAUGAGUUGGAUAAAUCCAAUGUAUCACUUUCUAAAGCAUGUGCACUGGAUAAUCCUGCACUUGCAUGCACCAAAUCAUUCUCAUCUUUGCCAUCAACUCCACCUUCACCGCUUGCAUCCUCAAUACUCAUAUUGGCAAACGCUUUCGCCUCAUCGGAAUCGCUGCCCUCCGUGAACU
rnacentral:misc_RNA from 1 species